GGCCGCUCCGCGCCCCGCCUCCUCCGCCAGCUCCUCCCUCUGCGGGCGGCGGCGGCCGGCGCGCCCUGGGGCCGCGGUGCCCCCCGCAGACCGACCCCACGCGGGCGGCUGCAAAGGAACAGCGAGGGCCAGGAGGUGGGCGCACGGGGGACGGCGGGCAGAGCUGCCAGGUAGGAGCUGGAGCAGGGCUGGCACCGAGGCUUCGGGCAGCAGGGAAGGGCAGGCGGGGCGCCGCGGUCCGGCCUCCUCACACCCUGACCACCAGCAUGCACUGGGCGCCCCAAUUCUCCUGCCUCUGGACCCGUCUCCUCCUCUCGUUUUAGGCACCUGUCCCUGGGCCCAUGCUCCUUCUGUGUUGACCACCGUCUCCAUACCACUUCUUGGGCUUAGGUAUAGAGUCCGAGGUCUUGAUUUUCCUUUCUGCCUAAAAGCCUGCUUGGGCUCCCUAGUACCCAGACAGGCCAAAUUCACCUGCUCUGCCAAUGACUUAGAAAUAUGGGACUUAGAAAUAUGCUACACUCUUAACACACCAAAACAAACUGUGACCCUGCCCUUUUGGCCAGAGAUUAAGUUACUGACUCCACUUCAAAUUUGCCCUUGUAGGCUCCACUGUGGUGCCGGGGCCAGAACCUGCAGACCGUAUUUCUGGGCUCCAUGCCAGACUCAGCCCACAGGGAGCAACAAGGAGCCACUGCAGCCCCACCAGGGUCCAUAAUACCAUCGGUUUUGUUUUAACCAUAGGCAACCUGUGCCUGAGGGUCUCUUCUUUUCUCAGUGCACCCAACUUGCUCUGCCACUUCCCAACUGGCAGACCACUGUCACACCAGGUAAGCCCCCUUAACCUGUAUCAAUCUAUCCAAGCGUCUCUCAGCCCCAAGCCCAGCUGUCUACUUCCUCAAAAACAGUCAGGACCACUGCUGUGAGAUUGGGGGGAGGCGGGGGGAGCAGAGGCAAGCUGCCCACACAUAAGUGUUCACACACAUACACACACAUGCACACACACGCACGCAUAUAUAUCUGGCACUCCAGUCACCUAAUUAACAUGGAGAAGAAAGAAGUCUGCCCUCCCGAAGAGCAGGUGAGCUAGAGACCCUAGCACAGAGGCGUUUAUUCUGUGCCUGCUGCAAGCGUAAACAAGCACCAACGACAGGGACCAGUGGCAGCCAUACAGUUCCACUCGAAAGCAGCCCUCCUGGCAAACUGCGACAUCCUAGAAUGCGCUCUUUCAGCCACCAGCCCAUCCAAUUCUUAGAAAACCCAAGGGGCCAUGCGAAAGCUCCAAGGGGAGAAGCAAUUUGGAAUCAAACAGACAACCCUGGAGGGGAGGGGAGGGGGAGGUCCAAGAAGUCUACAGCAUGGAAAUCCGGCUGCAUACACACACAGGAGAACAAUGCUUCCUGCAAGCUGCAUCCAGGACCUUCUACCACACACCUGUACCCAGGUCAGCUGAUCCCUACUCUCUGUGACUUUAAACAAGCCUCUAACCCAGCCGGGGCAUCAGGACCCCAGCCUGCACAAUGCUGUUAACAGACAGACACAAGCCUAAGUGAUAGAGGUUAAUGGAGUGGCAAGCAUCUUUGCUGCUCGGCCCAGUGGUACAUCCGCCCGUCGGGCUAUAAGAGCUGGCCGGCACUGUGAAAACAACAUGCUUAUGUAACACUUCCAUCCAACAGGCUUCCAAACACCUUCUAUAUACCUGGCUCCGGAGAAACGGCAGGAGGCAAGAAAGACAAGCUCCAGACCGCAAGGCGAAUUUAAGACGACCACUGGUGCUUAACACAGACAGCGCACAAGGGUCCAAGAAGACGAACCCUCACGGGCACCCCGGAGGGCUUCUCAAAGGGAACACCUUGUACUGUACCGGUGAGGAGCCAGCACGGUGGCCACUCUUAAGCCUACAAAGCCUCCAGUCUACGCUUCCUACUCAAGUUAUGGGGAAGUUGGUACUGCAAAUAGCCUGGUUUCUCAGGGUCCCAGGACUCAGGAGGGAGGUUCAAAGUACUGGAGGGCCUUACUAUUUAACUCUGGCUGUCCUGGAACUCACUAUGUGGACCAGGCUGGGCCUCCAACUCACAGAGAACUGCCUGCCUUUGAUUCCCACGGGCUGGGAUUAAAGAAUCACUAAGAACAAGAACUGCUCAUUCCUGAAAUUCUGCAGCUGAGAGAGACACCUUGAUGCAAUUCCAGAGGACAACCGUACCGGAAUGCUGGCCACCAAGGGAGGUCAGCUGUCUCCCCAGUGCCAGAAAUAUAGUCAUGUGAGAAGCAAGCCAGGAAACACGCUUUGAGCUCAACUCUAGAAGUCUUGGCUAACUUCUUUCUGGACUCUGAUUUUGUUUGUUUUAAUGAUUGCCCUUUGCUAUGCUUUUGUUCAGUAGAAAUAUUAUUUUGAGCUGGGUGGUGGUGGUGCACGCCUUGAAUCCCAGCACUCAGGUGGCAGAGGCAGGUGGAUCUCUGUGAGUUCCAGGACAGCCUGGUCUACAAAGGUCCCAAAUGUGUCUACACAGCCAUCCACAGUAUGCUAAGAACAAAAAUGAGAUCAACAACAACAAAAAUCUUCCACAUCUUAACAGUAUGAUCAGAGUCAAAGACAUCUAGCCAUGACACAUUAUGGUGGCACUUCUGCCCAACUUCUCGUCAAAGUGGACAACUGUUUUUGUUUGUUGUUUUUUAAAGUGCCAGGCAUGGUGGUACAAGUCUUUAAUCCCAGCACUUGGAAACUCUCUGUGAGUUUUAGGCCAGCCUCAUCUACAUAGUGAGUUCCUGGCCAGCCAGGGCUACACAGUGAGACCCUGUCUCAAAAUAAUAAUAAAUUUUUUUAAAUCAUCUCACUGGGAUGCCGGUAACGGGAGUGGCUCUGGUACUUCACUGCCAAACAAAGCAGAGUCCAUGGUGUCUCUACAAAGACUUGACCUCUCUUGCUCCGUCCUGCAGAGUACAGCCUCCAUUUAGGAGCUGCGGAAUACUCAAAACUCUUUAAAACUUAAGCAUGCUUAAGUUUUUCUCAUAUCAGUGAUGUGACCGUAUAUUUGGCAAUGGAUUCUUAGCUACAACAUCAAAAGCAUGAGCAAUUUUUUUUUUAAUUUUUAAUUUAAAAAAGAGGGAGGAGGAGGAUGACAAGGGCCUGUAGUCCCUGCUACUCAAGAGGCUGAGGCAGGAAGAUCACCUGAGCCCAGAAUUCAAAACCAAUCUGGGCAAGAAACAAAGUGGUACAUGGUAGCUUUUUCCUAUAAUCUCAGAUGCUAAGGCAGAAGAACUGUCAAAGGAGUUUGAGGCCAGCCUGGGCUGUAGACCAAGGUCAACACCAACCUGGGCCACAGCGAAACCUUAUCUCAAAAAAUAUAUAUGUAUACAACGUAUUUUUAAUUUGUUACACCUACUUAUUUGCGUAUGUACAUAUAUGAACACAAGCAUGUGCCAUGGCUCUAUGAAGCAGGUGAAGGCCCUGAAGAAGUCAGCUCUCUCCUUCCACCAUGUGGAUUUCCCAGGCUUAGCAGCAAACACAUUUACCCACUAAGCCAUCUUGCUGGCCUUAUAUUCUAUAUAUUCAGAAUAUAUAAAGAAUUCUUAUGGUUCAACAAUAAGAAAAAAAAAUCUUAACGUGAGCAAAGGCUUCACUCUUCUCCCAAGACACACAAAAGACCCAAGAAAAUAUGCAAAAUAUCAGGGGGCAUUAGGAAACCACAAAACCACAAUGAAAUACCACACCAUAGCCAACAGAAUAACCACGAUUAAAAAAAAAAAAAAAAAAAAAAAAA